CGGGCCGCCCUCGGCGCCGCCUGAGCCGCGGUGCGGGCUGCGCGGGGCGCCGCUUCCGCGGAAGCCUGGGUCGGGCGCUGCGUGCGGGACUCUCGUCGCUCGUGGACGGGGCGCGAGCGCGCGGGGGACGUAGGACGCCGACCUGGGCCUCCCCGGCGCUCCGGCUCCGCUCAGGGCGCCCGCUCAGGGGCCUCCGGCGCGAGGCCCCCUAUGUGGUCAAGAUGGCGGCGCCCAGGCGGGCCGCGCCGAGGUGAGCUGGAGCCGGGCCCGGAGAGGGGCGAGUCUGCCACGCCCAGGACUUGGACCCCGGGCUGGUCUCCCGUCUCCCGGGGAGCGGCGGCAGGCUUUUCUUGGAGAACUGCCAGAUAAUGCCAUCCUGCCUCCUCACGGGCCCCGGGGAUGAGUCGCCCAGGGACUGAACUCCAGUAAAGCAGGUGAUUGGCUCAUGGGUUAAUUAUCUGAGAAGAGUAUUGUGCCAGCACACUUGAUACUACAGUAUUUCAUGUUUGACAGGUUAAUGGGUGCUACGGGAUAAGGAAAAGGAUGUGAAGCUCACUGAAGAGGCUUGGGUUGGGAGUGCUGGAGGAGUGUACAGAGACUCAGCACCUUUCUGUACAGAAAUGGAGACAGGAAGAGGCCAGAGGAUGAAUGACAGGCACGAAUGAGGUGGAACUUUGAAGAGCAACAUGGAAAUGAAAUACUUCUUUUGUAUUUGGUAGUUGGGGAAAAUGUACCAGCGUGUAUGCCUACUGGGACCAUGUUUUCCAGAACAGUUAAGCCCAGUGUCAACUAUGCUGUCCCACCUUCCUCGGGUGUCCAGAGAAGGUAACUACUUUGCCCACGUCCUAAACUGAAAUACCCUGAGCCAAGGUGGAAAAUAAAUGGAAAACUGGAGGAAUUUAGAUCCUUUUGUUGUAAAUUUAAAUAUUUUUAAUUGUAAAAAUAAUACAGGUUCAUUGCAGAAACUCCAAAAUUGAAAGGAUUUAAAGAAAAAAGGAAAAAUAACUCAAAAUCCCAUUUCUGAUAAGUCAUCUCUGUAACAUUUUUGAGGGUGUCUUUUGAAACUUUUUUGUGAUGAGGUGCAUAUAAAUACAAUGCAAGUAUAAAAUACCUUUAAUUAUUAUAUCAAACUACAAAACAGUUCUAUAACAUUUUUAUUUAGUAAUAUAAGUAUGAUUACUCAUCACCUAAUAAAAAUCUGCAGCAUCAUUUUUAAUGGUUGAACAGCAUUCUAUUAUUUAUUUAACCAGUCCCUACUGUUCAACAUUUAGAUUAUUCCUGUUUUGCUUUGCUAAACAAUGAGACAAGCAUCCUUGUUCAUAUGUCUUUGAGCAUUUGUUUAUUUCCUUAGAAUGGACUUCUAGAACUUGAAUGGCUGGUUGUCAGUUCUGGUACACACUGACAUAUUGUCUUCCAGAAAGGUUACCGUGCUUUUCAUUUCUACCAAGAAUUUAACAUCCAGUGUGGUUUCUUACACACACUCAUCAGUACCAGCAUUAUCAAUAUCAAUACCAGUAUUACUAAGUUUUUUAGAACUUUGUCAUUCUAGUCAGUAAAAUAUGACACCUGAAUUAUUUUAUUUGUAUUUCUUUGAUUAAUAAUAGCAAGGUUGAACAUAUUUUCAUAUCUUUAUUGGCUGUUAAUACUUUUUAGUUUGUGACUUUAUGACAUCCAUUUUUCAUCGAUGUAUAACAACCUUUUAUAUCUCAAUGUGUUUAUUUUGUUUGUUGUCAAUGCAAUUUUUUUCUCUUCAUUUAUUAAUUUUUAUUUUGUGUGUGUUGAACUUCUUUAAUACUGUCAAGUCUAUUCAAAAACCCUUUAAUGAACACAACAAAUGUGGAAAAUCAGUCAUUCUCCUGCAUUUUGUAAUCAAUUUAUUUCCUUUUGGGCAGUAUGGAAAUGUAAGUUUUUAUUUCAUCUUAUGGUUGGAAAGAAUCUGUUCCCUCGGAAAGGGAUCAUAGUCUCCAUGAUGCAGUAAUGGGAGAUUUUAUAGGGUAGGCAGGGUCUACAGAAGAAAAAACCCUAAAUCACACUCCAUUGGUGGUUGCCUUAUUUAUUAAAAUGGUAUUUGAGGUUGUGUGACUGCCAUCAGGUAAGCAAAAUUAAUUUUUAGCAUGAAGUACUCCUAUCAGCAAGAACAGCCUAGGAUAGGCUAGCAGUAAGAAGUGAGGGGUUAUGGGAUUGGGGCAUAGCCUCUGUUUCCUCCAAUGCAGCUGGAAAUUUAAACUCUGGGGCUCCUGCUUGAUCCAGUCAGCCCAGCUAGUAUGUGUUGCCAGGUAGGGUGAAUAGACUCAGAAGUACAAGAGCUCAUCCUUGGUCCCCUCUGGAAAUGAGCAGAGAAUACUGUGUCAAGCAGAGGUGAUCAGUCCAUGGUCUGGAGACUUGGAUCUCCUCACAUAGUCCUUAAAGUCAGGGUGAGACAAAAUGCCAAUACAAAUUAUAUUGAUGACAGUAUCAAUGAGGUGACAUUCAAUCCUUUGACCCAACGUGUAUCUGCAGUGUGCCUGCCAUCCAUUAGUAAAUGGGCAAAGCCAUUUGACAGAUCUAUCUGAUACAAUGAAUGAAUCUGACAGUCACAUUUUGAAAAACUGAAACUGUAUCCAUUUGUCAAGAACAGUGGCUACUUGUUCUGCUUUAUUCCCCCUGGUAGAACUAGGUAACAUUGCAGGCAGUAAGAUGUUCCGGCAUUUCACCCUGGAGUAGCCCCAAAACUGAAGAAGCUGUCUUAUCAGUAGUUAGCUCCUUGUCACCAAGAAUAUUAAAGUAGAUUUGUAUGAUUAGCAAAUUAAAGAGACUGUAGUGCCUACCACUACUGUAUUCACUAAGGCACCCAAGUUAUUCUGAAGAAAUCCUAAUAAUACAUUAGGACCGUUUUGAAUAUUUUUAUUUGAUUAGCCAUACUCUUCUAGUUAUAACAUCCAUCACCAUUUUGACCACUGAAACUUGGCCUUCUUUUCUUACAGCCUAGCCCUGUGGUCUUGGGCUAAUCAGUAACCUGCUUAGAUACAAUUUUCUUCUCUAUGAAAUAGAAACAAUAUUAUAUGCUUUGAAGGACUGCAGGAAGAUGAGCUGUAAUGUUUAUCAAGUGCCUAGUUAGCUCUAGAGUCCUUAAUUCUCCAUUCAGUAUUAAAUUAUUGACUAUUUUGCCACAACUACUGAGCCUGCGCUCUAGAGCCUGCAAGUCACAACUACUGAAGCCUGUGUGCCACAACUACUGAACUCCAUGCACCUAGAGCCUGUGCUCUGCAACGAGAAGCCACCACAAUGAGAAGCCUGCACACCGCAUAGAAGAGUAGCCCCCGCUCACCGCAACUACAGAAAGCCCGCGUGUAGCAAUGAAGACCCAACACAGCCAAAAAUAAAAUAAAUACAUUUAUUUUUUAAAAAAGUGGAUGUAUUUAAAAAAACCCAAAAAGGUCCUACUGUAUAGCACAGGGAACUAUAUUCAAUAUCCUGUGAUAAACCAUAAUGGAAAAGAAUAUGAAAAAGAAUGUAUAUAAAUGUAUAACUGAGUCACUUUUCUGUGCAGCAGUAAUUAACACAACACUGUAAUUCUACUAUACGUCAAUAAAAAAUAAAAUUUUAAAAAACUGCCAUAAAAAUCACCACAGAAGGGGGACUUCCCUAGUGGUCCGGUGGUUAAGACUUUGCCUUCCAAUGGAGGGGGUGAGGGUUCGAUACCUGGUUGGGGAGCUAAGAUCCCACAUGCCUUGUGGCCAAAAAACCAAAACAUAAAACAGAAGCAAUACUGUAACAAAUUCCAUAAAGACUUUAAAAAUAGUCGACAUCAAAAAAAAUCUUUAAAAAAAUCACAUAAAUCAGAAACAAAUGAAACAUAAUAAAGUCCAUACAUAAAAAAAAAGAGCAUGGGUUCUGGUCACAUCCCAGCUUCCCACUUACUUACAGCUGUGUAAUUCUGGGCAACUCACAAAAUGUCUCCUCAGACUCCUCAUCUAUAAGUGGGGAUGGUAAUAGUUCCCUACCUCAUAGUGUUGCUGUAAUCCAUAAACACGGUUAAGUGCCUUGGUAAAUUGUUUGAUGCUCUCUGGUUAUUGUGAAUUAAAAUAUGUCAAUGGCUUCUGGCCAUACGAUUUAUAAUAGUUUGACAGUUAACCAAAUGGUAAAACUAUUCCAUUUAUUAUUCCCAUCUCUUUUUACCCCUUACCCUGUUUUGUUGUUUAUGUUUUCUCCCACCACAGAGUGUUAGUUCCAGGAGAGUAAAAGCUUUAUUUUGUUCACUGCUGAAAGCAAUAGCACCCAGAAAAGGACUGUACAUAUGAAGCCCUCAGUAAACACUAGCUGAAUGAAUGGUGCAAACUGUCACAAGGAAAAAUACACCAAAACUUCCAUUAUAAUAAAAAAGUAUAGACAAAUCUUUCUCUAAUGGCUUCCAGUCAAGUAUUUUAAAACACCAUAUGCUAUAAUAAAAACAUAAGUAAUUUAUUAAAAUUUGAAGGCAAAAACAUAAUUUUAAAAGAUUUUAAAAGAUUUAGACCUAUGUUAGGCGUGAUGGAAUAUGGAUGCUUUCUGGAAAUUCACAAUCAGAUCCAAGAGUAUCACUUUCAGAAUGUUCUAGUAGACUGAGUUUACUUUUAGUUGUCUUUGAAGAAACAGUCACUAUUGUACUCUCUUUCUUAACAGAAAUGUGUUUUUUCGAAGACUCACUUCUAAUUGGUUCAUUAAGCAAAGAAUUAUUUUGCCCAAUUCCUUUGCUUUUCUGCUUUACAGUUCCAGAAAUGACGUCUGCUGAAGGAGAAUAUGUUCUAGCAAUGAAAUCUUCAAAAGACUCCUGCCGCUGCUCUGUGACUGCGACCCCCAGGUUGUCUUUGGAAGUUUCUAAGGCCUCCUGAGUAGAGACUGGGACAUGGAAGGAGUCGACAGGCAAAGGAAUCCCAGCAUCACCUGUAAUUUUCUGAAACUGGAGGGAAAAACAAAAGACAAGACAAAAAUUCGGUGAUGAACAAAGCCAACCAUUAAAAAGUAGAGUUCAAAACUUCA